rnacentral:rRNA from 1 species
UGGGCGCAGGAAAUUUGAGAGGAGCUGUCCUUAGUACGAGAGGACCGGGAUGGACGCACCGCUGGUGUACCAGUUGUCUUGCCAAAGGCAUAGCUGGGUAGCUACGUGCGGACGGGAUAAGUGCUGAAAGCAUCUAAGCAUGAAGCCCCCCUCAAGAUGAGAUUUCCUUUUGCUUCGGCAAGUAAGAUCCCUGAAAGAUGAUCAGGUAGAUAGGUUCGAGGUGGAAGCGUGGCGACACGUGCAGCUGACGAAUACUAAUCGAUCGAGGACUUAACCCAAA